rnacentral:rRNA from 1 species
UGGGGAAUAUUGGACAAUGGGGGCAACCCUGAUCCAGCGAUGCCGCGUGGGUGAAGAAGGCCUUCGGGUUGUAAAGCCCUUUAGGUUGGGACGAAGGAUGUAGGGUGAAUAUCCCUAUGUUUUGACGGUACCGACAGAAUAAGCACCGGCAAACUCUGUGCCAGCAGCCGCGGUAAUACAGAGGGUGCGAGCGUUAAUCGGAUUUACUGGGCGUAAAGGGCGCGUAGGCGGUGAUGUGAGUGUGAUGUGAAAGCCCCGGGCUUAACCUGGGAAGUGCAUCGCAAACGACAUUGCUGGAGUAUAAGAGAGGGUGGCGGAAUUUCCGGUGUAGCGGUGAAAUGCGUAGAGAUCGGAAGGAACGUCAAUGGCGAAGGCAGCCACCUGGCUUAAUACUGACGCUGAGGCGCGAAAGCGUGGGGAUCAAACAG